GAGGUGCAAUAAAUCUUUGAAGUAAAGGGAAAAUUCCUACAAGCAAUAACUCUCUGAAUGUACAUCUUGCACACAAUUGGUGCCCUUAUAAAAGAAAGGGCAAUAGGGUUGUUGGUUCAAAAAUCGAAGAGGCACCACUCUCCGGAUUCCGAAUAGGCACCACUUUCCACACGCAACAUCAGCUUCUCGGGUACCACAUAUAACUUUGCCAAAGAUCUCUGACAAAGUUUAGACACAUAAAUUUUGAAGGUCCAGCUACCCUACUAUUACCCACAAGGGUAAAGGAACAGCACCACUGCUUGAUAACAAGAAAGUCCCAAUGUGUGCCAACCUCCGUGCUCCGUGGCAAGGCAGACUGGAAAAAUGCCCAACCUUUACUCACAUUCGAGAAAACACUCCCAACAAGAUUGCUUGCUCCGAAUCUCGAGAGCCAGACUUUCAAUAGGAUUAUGUGCUCAAAAAUCGAAGAGGCACCGCCCUUCGAAUCUCGAGAGCCAGACUCCCAACAGGAUUAUUUUCUCAAAAAUCGGAGAGACACUACUCUCCGAAUCUCAAGAGUCAGACUUCCAACAGGAUUGCUUUCUCAAAAAUCGAAGAGGCACCGCUCUCCGAAUCUCAAGAGCCAGACUCCCAACAGGAUUACGUGCUCAAAAAUCGAAGAGGCACCUGAUGCGAAUAAUAUAAGCACACAAAUUAAACCCUCUUUUUGACAAUUGUAGCAAAGUAUGUAAGUAGG
rnacentral:lncRNA from 1 species